GCUACGCUACGGUAUCCGGAAGUCGCAAAUCCGUCGCCGGGAAGCCACAUUCCCGGCCUUGCCAAGUUGCCUCCACAAUAUGCUUCUCUAGACUAGAAUAGUGACUUUGAGUCCCACAUCUAAGAAAAUGUAAAUGAGGGAGCCUCCUUCCCCUAUAAAAGGAAUGCCUCCUCCCACAACUCAAACGAUCCCAUUACAUCUCUUGUAAUCUUGUUAGGCCACAAGGCUCGACACACUAGUACAUAUUCAAGUAUUCAAGUGGACGUAGUUUCCCGCUGAGGCGGGAAACGAACCACUAUACUUCGCUUGUGUCACUCUCUCUCUCUCUAAAGCUAACUAGAGAUCCCACGGAUCACUAACGUUAACAUUGGCGCCGUCUGUGGGAAGCCGACACACAAAGGCUUCGUCACCUACCACGAGCUUUGGCCGAUCAACCCUCAGUCAACGCCCAACGGGGCUGGUCAAUGCCCAGCGGGGUUGGUCAACGCCCGGCGGAGUCAGUCAACGCCCAACUCUAAGGUCAACGCUGACCUACACCAAAAAAAAAAAAAAAAAAAAAAAAUCUAGUGCCAAAUUCUCUCUGGACACCCAGAGAUCUCCUUUGGCCACCCAUGCUUUCUUUCAAUCAAUCAUCAGCACGCGCUCCGCUGAGUUUUCACUUCCUCCGUUGGUCACAGCUUGCUGCCAUCAGAGGCCAGCCACCGCGGCUAGCCAAGGCUACCGCCGGCAAAGUUUUCUCCGCCAGCCCCCUCCAGCGGUAGCAAGAAAGCAGGCCCCCGCAUACCACGCCCAACAACCAACCACACCAGCAGCUUUUCUCAGCUCCGCCGCUCGGCUUCAUCAGCGGCCAACACCGCCAUGUGUUCUUCAACGAAGCACCAUCAGCGGGAAGUUUCCUACGCUGCCGCUGGCCUUAGCUCCGCUGGCCUAACCUCCGCCAGGUUGUAACUCCGGAGCUCCGCCGCUCCUCUCUGGACACCCAGACAUUUUUUCUUCACACCCACGGCCUGCAGCUCCGUCCAACUUCUUCGACCAAACUUGGUCUCCAUCACAGCUCCGGCUCCGCCAGACUUCGGUUCCGCCGAACUCAUGUUCCGCUGAACUUCAGCUUCGGCCGGACACCAACACUUCGCUGAACUUCGAACUCAUCCUCCGCCGGAGAGUCGUCCUCCAGGGGACCCCCGCCGGCAUCCUCCACUGGUUUUCUCCAUUCAGCUCUGCCAACCCACUGGCCAAGGUCCCGCUAGGCAACAAUAUGGUUUUCCGGCUUCGAACUUCUGUGGCGGACGAAAACCUCCACCAGGCUUCCAACUCCCGGUUCGUUACUCCACUAAACAGCUCCGCUGAGUUUUGCUGGCCAAAGCAUCACCGACCUCCGCUGACCAUAACCAGCGGCUAGUCCUCCGCCGGGCUCCUCCGCUAGCUGCCAUAACACUUCCUCCGCUCCGCCAAACCGCAACUGCAUCUCCGCUCCGCUGCACUGCUCACAGCAUAGCUCGCUGGCAGCCUCCGCCGAACUCUUCCGGCACGACUCCGCUAGCUCACUGUUGCGCUCUCCACCCACUGCAGGUUCCGCCACACUGUGCACCGCUAGCCUCCACCGCUGAGUGAAACACCGCCGAGCAAAACCUCCGCUAGGAAAGAGCUCCGCUCCGCUGAAUUCCAAAUCUUCGCCACACUUUGAGCAUCCGCCGAACUCUUCAGCCACCGCCGGACUCUUCGGUCUCCGCCGGACUCUUGAGCACCAGCGGCAAAACCUCCGCCCACCAAGACAAUCUCCGCUUGGCAACCUCCGACCAAGCUCCUCCGCCGAGUCAUCCUCCGCCGACCAAAAACUUCACCACCGCUUACCCAGGCUUCCUCCGCUAAGCACCAUCAGCGGCACUUUCCUCCGCUAAUCCCCGUCAGCGGCAACUCUCCCGCUAGGCUCGAUGGCUUCUUGUGCUCAUUCUCGUUCACUCAUCAUCAUUGACCUCGAUGUCUGUAGUUCCAGAAUGUGCAGCGGCCACCCAGCGGUAACCCAGCAACUUCCGCCAACGAGGCCCAGCGGACAGCGACAGCACGCGGCGAGGCUUCACUCCCAGCCAUCAGCGAAGCUUCGAUCCCCAGAGGAAAUUCGGUCCCCAGCGGAACUUAAAUCUCAGCAAAGCUUCAGUACCCAGCGAAGCUUUAAUCCUCCCGGAGCUUCGACCCCUUGCAGAGCUUCAAUUUUCCGGGCGGCCCUUCAAUAUUUCAGGCUUUCAGCCACCCAGAGAUAUACCAUGGACACCCAGGCUGGCGGUAUACAAAGAAAUAACCACCGCCCUGCCGAUCUCCGAGCAUAGUCCGACGGUCGUC
rnacentral:lncRNA from 1 species